GUCAGAGAGUUAGUGUAUUAAUCAGCUGAUGUGAACAGAAGUUGGUGUUUUGUAGCUGUUUUGUAAUAAGAGGUUUAAAUGGAUGGAGAGAGCAGUGAGUUUAGAGCAGCAGGGUUUUUGUACGGCCACUAAACCUGUUUGUAUCACUGUGGAACACUUUCGGUGGAGGAACUAAACUCAUUAUGAAAACUGGUCCGGUGGUGAAGCCCUCCGUGUCUCUGCUCCCUCCCUCCUCUCUGCAGCUCUCUGAAGGAUCGGCCUCGCUGCUCUGCCUGCUCUCGGCCUAUUCUCCACAGGGGGCGCUGCUGAGCUGGACCGUAGACGGUGCCGAGGUGAACGAGGGGGUUCUGACCAGUACAGAAGAACAGAAGAACGGCAUCUACAGCCGCAGCAGCACCCUGACCCUCAGCAAAGAACGCUGGGAAGAGGCCGAGGUGUUCGGCUGUACCGUGUCCCACCACGACACCACUCAGAUCGCCUCGUUCCGAAAGAGCCGCUGUGAAGUCCACUAGAAUUCAAGUGUACACUUUAAAACACGCUUAGCAGUCUGAGGUGGUGUCAGUGGUGUAGGUAUGCUGAAAUAAAGCUUCAAUGUGGAAAGCAUGUCUCCUUUUUCACUAGUGAAGUGUCUUGUGCUGUGCUUGACUGAGUUUGGCUGAAGAACCAUGAACAUCUGCUGAAAGUGUUGAUCUAUUCUGGGACUCAGAGGUGUUCAUGCAAUGGAACUUUCAUUUCUUAUUUCUGUGAUUGGUGAGAAUUUGCAUAAACCUUUUAAACAUUUUAACACAAUCCAAUAAAAUACAUUAAAGAACAAACUGAGUCAAGAGAAAACAUAAAAAAAUAUUUUCUCUGUGUUUUUAAAAGGAAAUACCAACCUUGAUCAGGAUGAAACCUCUCUCAGAUCCAUACUCAAGUUAUAAACACAGGUAGGCACAGGGCAAAACAAGAAUUUAAACUAUUAUAACCUGGACAAGGAAAACAAGUUUUAAAAAAAAUAUAAAAGAAGAACGACCCAGAAAGUAAAGUGCUAAAAAAAACAAGGAAACACAUAUUAAGGCAGUAAUAGAGUCCUAUUCAAGACCGAAAUCUUGUUCAUUGUUCAUGUUCACACAGUCAGAUCAGGCUCCUACAGGACUUGAUCUUUCUCUCUGAGAUGACGCACAUAUUCUAGGAAAUGUCCUGAAUUUGAAAGUCCUGAAAGGAGUCUUCCGCUGUAAUGUAUGAGCAGAGCAGGUAAUGUACUACACGCACCCUCAUCACUUCUUAACACUUGCUGUGUGUUGAGAACACAGGGCUGUCUGUCAGACAGAUUUGUAGGCUGUUAAUCACAGAAAUGAAUGAGGUUGUUACACCCAGUGCAUGAAGACACGACUGUGAAAUCUCCAGAAAACAGUGGAAAUUACAGCUGUCUCUCAAAUCUCCUGAUGACCUUUACUGAAGUUCUCACUCUCCUCUCUUUAUAACAGCAGGAGAAGAAAGAGCUCUAAUUGGUAUUUAAUCUU